ensembl:lncRNA
GUGUUGGGGGACACUGGGAAGGACUGGCAGAAACUGGGAGAGACUAGAAGGGACUGGGAAGGGACUGGGAGGGAUUGGGAGAGACUUGGAAGGGACUGGGAGGGACUGGGAGAGACAGGGAGAGAUUGGGAAGGGACUGGGAGAAACUGGGAAGGGACUGAGAAAGACUGGGAAGGGACAGGGAGGGACCGGGAGAGACUGGGGGAGAAUGGGAAGGAAACUGGGGGGACUGGGAGGAACUGGAGGUGACUGGCAAGGACCGGGAUGGGGACUGGGAGGGACUGGGAGUGACUGGGAAGAACUGGGAUGGAGACUGUGAGGGACUGGAAGUAAAGCCUGGAUGGAUGGGGAGGGACUGGGCUGGGAACUGGGAGGGACUGGGCUGGGAACAGGGAGGGACCGGGAUGGGAACUGGGAGGGACCGGGAUGGGAACUGGGAGGGACCGGGAUGAGAACUGGGAGGGACUGGAAAGGGAACUGGGAGGGGCUGGGCUGGGGAUUGGACAAACUGGGAGGGACUGGGGUGGGAAUUGGGAGAAAAAGAGAUGGGUGGGAACGGACUGGGAUGGGGACUGGGAAGGGCUGGGAUGGACUGGGGUGAACUGGGAAGGACUGGGAUAGACUGGAAAGGAUUGGGAUGAACUGGGAUGGACUGGGAUGGACUGGGAUGAACUGGGAUGAACUGGGAAGGACUGGGAUGACCCCCCCCCCAUGAUCCCCCCCCCAGAUCCAGGCGCUGCCGACGACUGCGACUCGGGAUCCCGCUUGGCCCCGCUGAUGGCCGGAGUGGAUCCCUGCAAGGAUCCCGCGGGAUUCCUCAGCCCCCAGCUGCCCGGAGAUGGGGCCGGAUCCCCCGGGGGAUCCUACAGCGACUCGGGAUCUUAUGGGGGCGGCCCGGGAUCCUCUGGAGGAUCGGGAUCCUAUGGGAUCAGCUCGGGAUCCUAUGGGGGCAGCUCGGGAUCCUAUGGAGGAUCGGGAUCCUACGGGAUCAACUCGGGAUCCUACGGGGGUAGCUCGGGAUCCUACGGGGGAUCGGGAUCCUCCGGGGGAUCGGGAGCAUUCCCAGGACGAGGGAGCGGAUCGGGAUCCUACGUGUCCCCAGGAUCGAGCGGAGGCAAGCCGGGAUCCUAUGGCAGCAGGCCGGGAUCCCCCGGGGACGGCUCGGGAUCGUUUGUCUCACCGGGAUCCGGUGGGCCGCCGGGAUCCUACGGACUGGUGCCCUACGGGAGUGGAUUCGGAUCGGGGAGCUACGGCCCGCAAGGGGGAAGCGGAUCGGGAUCCUAUGGGGGAUCCAGUUCAGGAGCCUAUGGAAGCGGCUCAGGAUCGGGCAGACCGGGAUCCCAAGGGGGAUUUGGAUCUGGAUCGGGAUCGGGCAGACCGGGAUCCCAAGGGGGAUUUGGAUCCGGAUCAGGAUCAGGCAGACCAGGAUCCCAAGGGGGAUUUGGAUCCGGAUUGGGAUCAGGCAGACCAGGAUCCCAAGGGGGAUUUGGAUCGGGAUCGGGCAGGCCUGGAUCCCAAGGGGGGUCGGGAUCUUAUGGGGGAGCGGGAUCUUAUGGGGGAUUGGGCUCCUACGGGGGGUCGGGGUCCCAGGGGGGCUCCCAGCGCCCCGUGUACAAGAACCCCGGGAUCCCCUUCGUGCCGGGGCUGCGGGAUCCGGCCCGGAUCGGGGGCUACAUCCCCGUGCGCCGCGGCCCCACCACGGGAUCGGGAUCCACUCACGGCUCCGGCGCGGGAUCCAGCUCGGGGACGGCGACCGGGACCUACGGCUCGGGAUCCCAAGGGGGAUCCCAAGGGGGAUCCCAAGGGGGAUCCGGGGGAGGAUCCGGGGGGGGAUCUGGGGCGGGAUCCGGGACGGGAUCUGACCAAGCCCAGUCCGGCUGCGGGGGCUGUGAUGAGUAGGGGGCACCCGGAGCCCCCCCAGUCCCGCUCACGCACCCCAAUAAAGUCCUUGCAGCUCGGCACCGGCCUCGUCCUUGUCCCCACGCGUGUCCCCAUGGCCACACGUGUCCCCAACGUGUCCCCACACGUGUCCCCAACAUGUCCCCACACGUGUCCCCAACAUGUCCCCACGUGUCCCCGCACGUCCUGGCACCGGCUGAGCUGGCGGGGCCGGUCCGCACCCACGCCCGGGGACAGGGACGUCAGGGACGGGACGGGGACGCCCACGGGGACGGGAAUGGGGUCAUCGGGGUGGGACAUCAGGGAUGGGACGGGGACGCCAACUGGGGCAGGAAUGGGGACACCGGGGUGGGACACUGGGGACGGGAUGGGGAUGCCAACUAGGACAGGAAUGGGGACACCAGGAUGGGGACACCCACAGGGACAGGAAUGGGGACAUGGGGAUGGGGACUUCGGGGACAGGACGGGGACUUUGGGGUCAUAAAGGGGACACCCACAAGGACAGGGAUUGGGUCACUUGGGACCAGUAUGGUCCCAUAGGGGUCAGCCUGAGCCCUACAUGGAGGAGUGUGAGCCCUAAAGGCACCAGUAUGGCCCCACAGACACCAGUAUGAACCCUAAAAAGACCAUUAAGCCCCCAAAGGGACUGGUGGGAGCACUAUAGGGACCAGUAAG